GAUGAACGCUAGCUACAGGCUUAACACAUGCAAGUCGAGGGACCGGCGCUCGGGUGAGUCACACGUACCCACCCUGCCCUUUACUCGGGGAUCGCCUUUCGAACGAAAGAUUAAUACCCGAUAUAAAGGAUGGGGAUGCGUUCCAUUAGUUUGUUGGUGAUGUAACGGCUCCCCAGGCAUUCGAUGGAUAGUGGUUCUGAGAGGAAGGUCCCCCGCCUUGGAACUGAGACACGGUGAAAACACGAACGGGAGGCAGGGGUGAGGAAGAUUGGUCACAGGGCGGUAGCCUGAACCGGCCAAGUAGCGUGAAGGAUGUAGGCUUAUGGUUCGUAAGCUUUUUUUAUAUAAGAAAAUGUAUUAUAUGAAUAAGGAUCGGCUAACUCCGUGCCAGCAGCCGCGGUAAUAC
rnacentral:rRNA from 1 species